GAUGAACGCUGGCGGCGUGCCUAAUACAUGCAAGUCGAGCGAACGGACGAGAAGCUUGCUUCUCUGAUGUUAGCGGCGGACGGGUGAGUAACACGUGGAUAACCUACCUAUAAGACUGGGAUAACUUCGGGAAACCGGAGCUAAUACCGGAUAAUAUUUUGAACCGCAUGGUUCAAAAGUGAAAGACGGUCUUGCUGUCACUUAUAGAUGGAUCCGCGCUGCAUUAGCUAGUUGGUAAGGUAACGGCUUACCAAGGCAACGAUGCAUAGCCGACCUGAGAGGGUGAUCGGCCACACUAGAACUGAGACACGGUCCAGACUCCUACGGGAGGCAGCAGUAGGGAAUCUUCCGCAAUGGGCGAAAGCCUGACGGAGCAACGCCGCUUGAGUGAUGAAGGUCUUCGGAUCGUAAAACUCUGUUAUUAGGGAAGAACAUAUGUGUAAGUAACUGUGCACAUCUUGACGGUACCUAAUCAGAAAGCCACGGCUAACUACGUG
rnacentral:rRNA from 1 species